rnacentral:rRNA from 1 species
UACAGAGACUGCAAGCGUUAUUCGGAUUCACUGGGCGUAAAGGGUGCGUAGGUGGGCAGGUAAGUCAGUGGUGAAAUCUCCGGGCUUAACUCGGAAACUGCCAUUGAUACUAUCUGUCUUGAAUACCGUGGAGGUCAGCGGAAUAUGUCAUGUAGCGGUGAAAUGCUUAGAUAUGACAUAGAACACCAAUUGCGAAGGCAGCUGGCUACACGAAUAUUGACACUGAUGCACGAAAGCGUGGGGAUCAAACAGG